rnacentral:lncRNA from 1 species
AAGGUUAACAGUCAGAGAGAAAGAAACAGACCUCUCCUUCAGCUUUGAGCUGAAUGCGGGUACUGAGUUCAGCAAGAAGGACCAAAUCCAAGAUAAUUGGAGCAGCCAAAAGAGAAUCCUCACAAGUAUUGUGCAAAACAAUGGUGUUCUUUCCUCCCAUGAAAAUCUCAGAUGUGUACUCAUCCAUUGCCCUUUUGCUGUCUCCCACAUAUGGCACAUACUGUAUCCCAAAAUCCAAUGCUACAAUUAGUCUAAUGCCUCGUCUUUUUAUGAUAUUCUUUUAAUUGUGAAAAGAUGUACUUUACCUUAAUCACAACAACAUGGUCAGGGUGCUCUCCAGGCUCAUAAAGAAUGGCAUUGCUUGAAACCAUGUCAUCAACAACAUUACUUUUCGAGAUCUCCUUUGAGCGGAAAGUUUGAGGGGCAGACAGAUUCAUUCCAUCAUUGUUACCCAAAUGGUUGUAGCUCACAAUUGAUGUUGGCUGUAAUUUUAACAAACACAAGUUUAACCAAUAUUCAACUUUCCUCUAUCAAGAAUCCCAUCUUUACAUAUCAAGUGUGCUAAUUUGAAGCACAAGUCAUACCUUAAUACCAGCUCCAACAAGGAAAUCAACCAGCACUGACUUCAUUUUGGUUUGACCACUCUUAAAGUCAUCACCACCAAUCAGUGUGUUCCUCUUGAUGGCCAAAUCAAUGAGGCCUAAGAAAUUUUCAGCAAAAUUUUAUUUAAUACAUAAAACUAACACACAGCUGAUUCCCAAAGCAAGUACUUUUAAUUUGAGAUUGAAACAGACCUGGCACAAAGGUGUUCUGUGGGCUUCCAUUAAUAAAAGGCACAUUUUCAAGAAUGCAGGCAAUAGCAUACAAAGUGGAAGGAGAUAUUUCAGCUUCAUUUCUGUCCACAGAAGCAAAGAGAUUUUCCAUAGUAUCAUUAAGUCCAACAACCACAUUACU